rnacentral:rRNA from 1 species
AGAGGUCUCAAGCGUUGUUCGGAUUCAUUGGGCGUAAAGGGUGCGUAGGCGGCGCGGUAAGUCGGGUGUGAAAGUCUCGGAAGCUUAACUCCGAAACUGCAUUCGAUACUGCCGUGCUUGAGGACUGGAGAGGAGACUGGAAUUUACGGUGUAGCGGUGAAAUGCGUAGAUAAUCGUAAGGAAGACCAGUGGCGAAAGGCGGGU